rnacentral:rRNA from 1 species
UGGGGAAUUUUGGACAAUGGGCGAAAGCCUGAUCCAGCAAUGCCGCGUGUGUGAAGAAGGCCUUCGGGUUGUAAAGCACUUUUGUCCGGAAAGAAAUCCUUGGCUCUAAUACAGUCGGGGGAUGACGGUACCGGAAGAAUAAGCACCGGCUAACUACGUGCCAGCAGCCGCGGUAAUACGUAGGGUGCAAGCGUUAAUCGGAAUUACUGGGCGUAAAGCGUGCGCAGGCGGUUUGCUAAGACCGACGUGAAAUCCCCGGGCUCAACCUGGGAACUGCAUUGGUGACUGGCAGGCUAGAGUAUGGCAGAGGGGGGUAGAAUUCCACGUGUAGCAGUGAAAUGCGUAGAGAUGUGGAGGAAUACCGAUGGCGAAGGCAGCCCCCUGGGCCAAUACUGACGCUCAUGCACGAAAGCGUGGGGAGCAAACAGGAUUAGAUACCCUGGUAGUCCACGCCCUAAACGAUGUCAACUAGUUGUUGGGGAUUCAUUUCCUUAGUAACGUAGCUAACGCGUGAAGUUGACCGCCUGGGGAGUACGGUCGC